GGCUCCCUCUGGGGGGCUGGGUGUGGGGCUGAUCCCUUUGAGCUGCUGGGGUCUUGGAAGAGGUGGGUCAGGCCAUGACAGGGUGCAGUGCUACCUCACCUUGUUAAGCAGAAGGGCAAGGAUUCACAUCAUUCUUGCUCUCUCAAAAUGGGAUGUUGUUCCUGUAGGUUACCAGAGAAUUCCAUGCUUCUCCCCAUGUCCAGAACAAGCCAGAGCUGGAGGGGAGGGUGUUUAGGGAGGGGUUGGUACCUGAUGCUGUGUCCCUGGUGUGUGUGCAGGACCCCAGGCACCCCAAGGCAGAGAACCUGCUGAGUGAGGACAGCACACAGCCCUGGCUUGGCUGCCCCAAGGGUCACAGCAGGCAGCUGAGAGUGGGGCUGUGACUGGAGAGAGCCAGUCCCAUUGGCCGUGUUGACGUUGACACUUCCCCGUUCCCCACUCCCGUGCAGGAGCCAGGGCCACGUCCCACAGUGGGGUCAGCAGCUCUGAGCCCCCUUGCCCCUGUCCUUCUCGCUGCUCCCCAGGGAACUACAGCUGUGCCUUUCUGCAGGCUGAGGUGGGAUGCUCCUCGUGGCCCUGUGACCAGCCCUGUCACACCUUGGUGCCCACUGAUGGCACCAGCUGACUCAAAGCUGGACCAGAAUUGCUGCAGGGUUCAGAUGUUUUAGGAAGAGGAAGCUGUGGAAGCUGGAUGGGCUGCCUGGAGCCCAGCCCACAUCAGCCACUCUGCCUGGAUGGAGCUGUUGACAACACAGAACCAGAACCAGGCCCUGAGGCCCAGAGCUGGCACGAGCACCCUGGGGCGUCACCUGGAGCUGCUGGCCAAGGAUGUGGGAGGUCCUGCAGUGCCAGGUGAGAGCCCACCUGCAGAGCUGCUCCAGCUCUGGGACCCCCAACAUCAGAAGAGUGUGGAGCAACUGGAAUGAGUCCAGAGGAAGCUGUGGAGAUCCUCUUGAGGGCUGGAGCCCCUCUACUGUGGAGACAGGCUGGGACAUCCAGGA